rnacentral:rRNA from 1 species
CCUUGUUGCUUCGGCGGGCCCGCCUUAACUGGCCGCCGGGGGGCUCACGCCCCCGGGCCCGCGCCCGCCGAAGACACCCUCGAACUCUGUCUGAAGAUUGUAGUCUGAGUGAAAAUAUAAAUUAUUUAAAACUUUCAACAACGGAUCUCUUGGUUCCGGCAUCGAUGAAGAACGCAGCGAAAUGCGAUACGUAAUGUGAAUUGCAAAUUCAGUGAAUCAUCGAGUCUUUGAACGCACAUUGCGCCCCCUGGUAUUCCGGGGGGCAUGCCUGUCCGAGCGUCAUUGCUGCCCUCAAGCACGGCUUGUGUGUUGGGCCCCGUCCUCCGAUUCCGGGGGACGGGCCCGAAAGGCAGCGGCGGCACCGCGUCCGGUCCUCGAGCGUAUGGGGCUUUGUCACCCGCUCUGUAGGCCCGGCCGGCGCUUGCCGAUCAACCCAAAUUUUUAUCCAGGUUGACCUCGGAUCAGGUAGGGAUACCCGCUGAACUUAAGCAUAUCAA